rnacentral:rRNA from 1 species
AGUGAACGCUGGCGGCAGGCCUAAUACAUGCAAGUCGAACGGCAGCACGGCAGAGCUUGCUCUGUGGGUGGCGAGUGGCGGACGGGUGAGGAAUACGUGGGAAUCUGCCCAGUCGUGGGGGAUAACGUAGGGAAACUUACGCUAAUACCGCAUGCGCCCUUCGGGGGAAAGCCGGGGAUCUUCGGACCUGGCGCGAUUGGAUGAGCCCACGUCGGAUUAGCUAGUUGGCGGGGUAAAGGCCCACCAAGGCGACGAUCCGUAGCUGGUCUGAGAGGAUGAUCAGCCACACUGGAACUGAGACACGGUCCAGACUCCUACGGGAGGCAGCAGUAGGGAAUAUUGGACAAUGGGCGCAAGCCUGAUCCAGCCAUGCCGCGUGAGUGAAGAAGGCCCUCGGGUUGUAAAGCUCUUUUGUCCGGAAAGAAAAAACCUUGGGUUAAUACCCUGAGGUUCUGACGGUACCGGAAGAAUAAGCACCGGCUAACUUCGUG